rnacentral:rRNA from 1 species
UGCAAGUCGAACGAUGAACCCCGCUUGCGGGGGGAUUAGUGGCGAACGGGUGAGUAACACGUGAGUAACCUGCCCUUAACUCUGGGAUAAGCCUUGGAAACGGGGUCUAAUACUGGAUAUUGACUUUUCCUCGCAUGGGGAUUGGUUGAAAGAUUUAUUGGUUUUGGAUGGACUCGCGGCCUAUCAGCUUGUUGGUGAGGUAAUGGCUCACCAAGGCGACGACGGGUAGCCGGCCUGAGAGGGUGACCGGCCACACUGGGACUGAGACACGGCCCAGACUCCUACGGGAGGCAGCAGUGGGGAAUAUUGCACAAUGGGCGAAAGCCUGAUGCAGCGACGCCGCGUGAGGGAUGACGGCCUUCGGGUUGUAAACCUCUUUCAGUAGGGAACAAGGCCAGUGUUUAGCUGGUUGAGGGUACUUGCAGAAGAAGCGCCGGCUAACUACGUGCCAGCAGCCGCGGUAAUACGUAGGGCGCAAGCGUUAUCCGGAAUUAUUGGGCGUAAAGAGCUCGUAGGCGGUUUGUCGCGUCUGCCGUGAAAGUCCGGGGCUCAACCCCGGAUCUGCGGUGGGUACGGGCAGACUAGAGUGAUGUAGGGGAGACUGGAAUUCCUGGUGUAGCGGUGAAAUGCGCAGAUAUCAGGAGGAACACCGAUGGCGAAGGCAGGUCUCUGGGCAUUAACUGACGCUGAGGAGCGAAAGCAUGGGGAGCGAACAGGAUUAGAUACCCCUGGUAGUCCAUGCCGUAAACGUUGGGCACUAGGUGUGGGGGACAUUCCACGUUUUCCGCGC